GCCAGGGUGGCGUAAUUUGGCAAGCGUGGGGGACUGUGGAUCCCCAGAUUCGGGUUCAAAUCCCGGCCCUGGCA
rnacentral:tRNA from 1 species